GGUGAGUUGUCCGAGUGGUUGAAGGAGCCUGCCUCGAAAACAGGUGUGCCGCAAGGUACCGGGGGUUCGAAUCCCUCACUCACCG
rnacentral:tRNA from 1 species